ensembl:snRNA U6 U6 spliceosomal RNA
CUAAAACCAUACGUACAGGUAGCAUACAAGUAGAACAAUACAGAGAAGAUUAUCAAACCCCAGCAUAAAGGUGACACACAAAUUUGUGAAGUGUUUCAUAUUUUU